CUUGGCGGAGCCGAGCCACAGCGGGCGGUCGUCGGGCCGGUCCUGGCCGUAGGUGGCGAUGAGGGCCUGCGCCUC
rfam:Streptomyces gancidicus BKS 13-15 Contig001, whole genome shotgun sequence.